rnacentral:lncRNA from 1 species
AUAGCAUUAACUUGAGCGUGCAGUAUCUAGAGUGAGGUGCCUGUCCCUCUGCUAGAUUGGUUUGGAUGGAAAUGAAAGUGCAGGAAACUAGUUCUCAUCUCUUCCAACUUUUAACAGAAAUGAGUCAGGCACACUGUGGAUGGGCAAAAAGCAUUUCAGUGGUUUAUUUUGUUGGAUGUCUUCAGCCCAUAUCCCACCUGAUACAGAAAUUUAGGCGCAGUUUUCUCGGCAAACACAUCCUGCAUUCACCACCCACUGUUUCCUGUCUCAGUUUUGACAUAAAUAACCUCUUCCUCUCCAAGCACAGAUGAUUUAAGCACGCUGCGGUGAAUGUCUGAACAUGAUUACAUUGAAUCUCAUUGCUAUCAUUGGAAUCUUCCCCUGCAAAAUUCAAAUGCCUUUUGAGUAUUUUUGUUAUUUUUGUGUAUUUUUGUAUGCUAUUAUGAGUUUUGGAACUCUCUCUAAAAACUGUUGUAUUCUGCAUUGGCACAUAUUGAUAUCUUGGUAUGGGGGUUCAAAUGAGAUGUUUCUUUUCACUGCUUUGGACCUUCAGUGCCUACUUUUCAAAAGAAAGGCUGGAUUAAAGAGAUUUAUUAGCUUGGAAAAAAGAAGAAGAAGUUCAUGCCUUACAAUUAUCAGCAUAAGUAUUUCAGCUUAUUGGCCCCACUUGCACUUGUACCCUUCUUCCAGCUGUCCAUAUUCUACUUUGCAAUCAGGAAGAAAAAGUGGUUGGUAAGCACCAAUUGCACUGUCUAGAAAUCUUUCAAAAAUGUAACCACUUGUACUGUCUAUGGUAGGGUUGGAGUUAAUUUUCCUCAUGGCAGCUUAUAUAGUGCUGUUUUAGAUUUGUGAUUAAACCAGUGCUGUCACCACACUAAUGUUUUGGUUAUGGCUAAACAGCUUCUGUGCAGCAUCAAGACCUCUGUUUCUCACUCUGUGUUCUGUCAGUGAUUAGUGCAAGAGUGUGAGAGGAGGGGACACAACCAGGCAGAUGACCCAAACUAACCAAAGAGCUAUUCAGUGCCAUAAAAUGCCAUGCUCAGCAAUAAAAAGGGGAAAGGAGAGAUUUAGGGAGAUUAG